rnacentral:rRNA from 1 species
AAUAGAAGUCGCGAAUCUUGAAGGAGAUACUAAGGCGUAAUGAAGUAAAAGUCGUCUUGUUACGGCUGAUUGGGAUCUGUGCGGUUUUCGAGCCACGCAGCGCACCAUAGCCCCGUCCCGGUUGCUUGCAAUGGGGCGGAGGUAGAGCGCAUACGCUGGGACCCGAAAGAUGGUGAACUAUGCCUGAGCAGGAUGAAGCCAGAGGAAACUCUGGUGGAAGUCCGAAGCGGUUCUGACGUGCAAAUCGAUCGUCUGACUUGGGUAUAGGGGCGAAAGACUAAUCGAACCAUCUAGUAGUGUUACCUUCCAAACUA